GAUGAACGCUGGCGGCGUGCCUAAUACAUGCAAGUCGAGCGAAUGGAUUAAGAGCUUGCUCUUAUGAAGUUAGCGGCGGACGGGUGAGUAACACGUGGGUAACCUGCCCAUAAGACUGGGAUAACUCCGGGAAACCGGGGCUAAUACCGGAUAACAUUUUGAACCGCAUGGUUCGAAAUUGAAAGGCGGCUUCGGCUGUCACUUAUGGAUGGACCCGCGUCGCAUUAGCUAGUUGGUGAGGUAACGGGUCACCAAGGCAACGAUGCGUAGCCGACCUGAGAGGGGGGUCGGCCACACUGGGACGGAGACCCGGCCCAGAAUCCGAGGGGGGGCAGCAGUAGGGAAUCUUCCGCGAUGGACGAAAGUCGGACGGAGCAGCGCCGCGUGAGUGAUGAGGGCUUUCGGGUCGUAAAACUCUGUUGUUAGGGAAGAACAAGUGCUAGUUGAAUAAGCUGGCACCUUGACGGUACCUAACCAGAAAGCCACGGCUAACUACGUGCCAGCCGCCGUAAGAC
rnacentral:rRNA from 1 species